rnacentral:rRNA from 1 species
GAUGAACGCUGACAGAAUGCUUAACACAUGCAAGUCUUUGGCGAAGCUGUGCUUGCACAGCCUAGCCAAGGCGGACGGGUGAGUAACGCGUAGGGAACUUGCCCUGCAGUCAGGGAUAACAGACGGAAACGACUGAUAAGACCUGGUAAAGUCAGGCGGACUCAUGUCCAGCCUGAUGAAAAGAGAUGCUGCAGGAGAGCCUUGCGUCCUAUUAGCUUGUUGGUGGGGUAACGGCCCACCAAGGCGAUGAUAGGUAGCCGGCCUGAGAGGGUGGACGGCCACAAGGGGACUGAGAUACGGCCCUUACUCCUACGGGAGGCAGCAGUGGGGAAUAUUGGACAAUGGGGGCAACCCUGAUCCAGCAAUUCUGUGUGCACGAUGAAGGUUUUCGGAUUGUAAAGUGCUUUCAGCAGGGAAGAAAAAAAUGACGGUACCUGCAGAAGAAGCGACGGCUAAAUACGUU